ACCUGCCUCUGGAAAUUUCCAUUACUUGCGUCUGAUGAAGUGGGCAUUCACCCACGAAAGCUUAUGCUCCAAUCCUUCUGUUAGUCUUAAAGGUGCCACAGGACCCUCUGUUGCUAUUUAAAAUAUUGAUACCUUCCAAACAUAUAUCACUCUUUCAUUCAUUCUCUAACAGAGGAGGUAUUUCUAUUAAUGUGACUAGAAGAGAGCCAGUUUCAUUUAUACUAUCAUCUCUCCAAAACUUUAGGAAAGUUGAUCAUGCAUUACAGAGAUGUUUCCCUCCGUAUCCUUUGGACAAUGAGAGAGAGAGAGAAAACGGGUGAAACUACGAGGAAGAAAAGGCAAACUAUAAACUGCCCGAUUUCCUUUCUCCUGCCGGGAAAAAUCCUGCAGGAGGGGGUAAGAGAGGUGGGACCAUUCUUCUUUGAGGUUCACUUUUAUGGAGCUUCCUGCAGAACAACAUCUUGGGGGGAAAAAGGAGCGAUGGAGUUUACAGGGCCUUCUAUCAACAUGGAGCCUGGCAUGCAAGAAGGGACUCCCUCACCGUCCUGUCUGCAAAAAUGGCCCUCUCGCCUCUUACUCCACCCACCCUCUACUGAGAACAGAGUUGCUGAAGGAGCCCAGAGGGCAGUAAAUACAACUUAAGGCUGUGUUAACUCCAAACUGGACUUCUGUGUAGAAAUCUAGCCAUUCUCCAGCAGACAGUGCCAGGCUGAGGCAUCCUGAAAUCUCUACAGAGCACUUUCCUCUCAGAUUUGCAGCAGAGGGGCAUCUAUGGAGAAUGGAUCUAUAAGGGCAGAGGGGGGCAAUGAGACUGUAGGCACAUUCCUCCCUCUUGUGGCAAGAAGGAGAUCUACACACAGGAGUUGCUCCAGCCCAAACUUCUUACUGUGGAAAACAUUUCUAAAGAAUCUUUUUAAACAUGGAAAUAGCAGCUACAUGAGCCAUGAUUUCCAGGAAAAGUUUACUGUCAAAUUAAUUUUGUACUGCUGAACAAACAGUGGAAUAGUAGUCAGGGCCGGUGCAAGGAAGUUUCGCCUAGG
rnacentral:lncRNA from 1 species